ACGCCCCUUCACUUGGCAGUUGAAAAAGGAUACUCGGAGGCUGUGGAGAAAUUUUUAAACAAUCCGCAUAGUCCAGCUGACCGCACCAAGACAAGCCAUGGGAAGGAAACAGUACUCGAUAUUGUUGAAAGGAGAUUGAGAGAAGAACAACCUGAGGACGCUGGCGCAAUGCUUACGAAAAGUGAAACCUCUAAGAUAAGAGAACUCAGAAAAGUUGCAAGUUAUUUGAAAAAUGACCAAGUUGCUGAUCAUCUUCUUGUUGAUGGCCCAUCCAGCUUAACAAUCAACGUGCCACCAGCUUCAACCGUACAUGUGGACGUCAAAGAAGCACAGACUGUUGUUGUGGGAGAUCAUAAUACAAUAUCUAACAACAAUAGGAACUAAGAAAAUCUUUGGAAAGGAUCCAUACUAUAAUUUUGCUAAAGGGGAGCUUGAUGAAAAAAUGCAAUUGCAGUCAACUUCAGUGGACUUCAAACAUUUUGUUAAACCAGCAAUUAAUCAAGUGGAAAGGUUUAGAAACAAGCAUCGACCAUUCGCUGUCAAGGUUAACUUAUGGUUUCACUGAAGUUAAAUAUUGUGAAUGCCAAGAUAUGAUUAAUAUUACUUGUGAUGUCUCCAGACUGAUAAUUCUUAUAGAAAACGACUUAUUGUGAAGCUGCCUUUAAAGAAAUUUUUUCUCAUUGCCUUCCAUAUGGUUGAUAAAGCAACAUAGUUUUAUUUAUCAUACAAACUACGGUGUUGUACUGAGAUAAGCCCUGAGAAAAGCCGUAACAACACACGUAAAAAGUUCUCAUCAUCUGUUCUCAUUCUCAUCAUCUGUUGGUAGGUUUCAGUAUCUUUAACUGGCAAAUUCUUCGCUAAAAAAUUUUCAAUGCCACCGAAAUUGCUGACCUCAGCGCGCACCAUAUUUGUUUAUAAUUACGCGAUAUUAUUGCUUGAUUUUUUCAACUACCACGAACCGUUUGAGCGCAAACAUGAUACUGAAUGAAUGAAUGAUAGUGAAUGAAAGUUGAAAUUAUCAUCAACUAUCGUGACCGUUUGAAUGCGGCUUAAACGCUAACCCACUUUACCUUUUCUUAUACGGAUUCGUCCAAAGUUUUAUUUUCAGUCGUUAAUAAAGUCGACUUUUCUCGUUAAUAAAUAUAUGUUAUUUGCCGGCUGGGAGGUCCGUGAAAAACUUAUUAGAAAGUAUUAUUCACUCUCAUCGACGAUUAAUUCAUGUACGAAGAUUUACCUCUGUUCAUUAAGUAAUCGGCGAGGAAAGUAAUUGUAAGUAAAUUCAAAUAUUUUGUUUCGAAGUUGUGAGAGUUUUCUCGUUUGUUUGCUGCUAUGGCGUGUGAAAAUCUGGUCUUUCCUACACAAAAACUAAAUUCGGAUGAUACACCCCAACGAGACAGAAGGGGAUUUAAUGCGGCCUUUUCUCGUUGAAUCCCUAAGUUUCUGUUGUGCAAUUUACGGUACAAAUGUCCAAAUUAAACGGACUUGAAAAGAUUCACCGAGAGCGUAUAUUUGUUGUAGAACUGAAAUUAAAACUUCGCUCGCCUUUUCACCACGAACAAAUUGUUUUAGAAAAUUCAGAUAUUAAAUGCAUGAAAGUUCCAUCGAUUAGUUCAACUGUAACCAAAUAUCUCACGUUUUAACUUUCUAGGUACUUUUUGUGAGCGAUUAAUUGCAGACGGCUUUUAGGCCACCUGUCAACCAACUAAUGACACUAUUGCUUGUACAAAAAAGUCAUUCUGAAACAAAAAUUUUUCUGUCAACCAAAGUGACUUGAAAGAGAGAAAAGAGAGGAUUAAUAAGUUAUUUAUCGGCUUGAGGUAGUGACCGACGACUUUGCUUAAAAAUACUGCCCAGCCGGUAAAAGGAGAUAUAUUUAUGAAAAAUGGCAACGAAUGAAGGGAUGUACUCGGCGACUCACGAAAGCGUUACCGUUGCCCGUGGGCAAAGAGAGGAAAAUACUGACCGAGUAAAGAACCAAUCAGAUUAGCGGAUUCGUUACCGUGCCCUCUGAAAAAAAAAUAUAGGGCUAUUAUGUUUAUAUGAUAAACAAAAGUAAUACAUGGUUGCUUGUAGAUAUGGAUUUUCUAUGCUCGUGUUCACCUUGACAUCUCACUCGUUCGCUGCGCUCACUCGUAAGCUAUCGAGUAAAACACUCGAAGAGAAAUUUCAUAUUUAUGUAUAUAUUAACGCGCGCUCAUGUUUUAUUCUCCAUUUAAAGAGAGUUUAAAAGUUAAGAGUCAGUGAAUCUUAUUUAUCGUUUGGUAUUAAAGUAUGAUGAAUGGUCUUGUCGUAGGAUUUGAUCACCCACGAACUUAUUGUAAAAGAUCGCAACACCACUCCAACAUGAUUAACAGUAUCCCCUUAACACACCCCGCAGUGGCAUUCAACAGCUGCAAUAAAAAAUUUAGUAUGUACGUGUAGAUUAAUGGUUCAUCCAGGGUCCUAGAAGCUAUAGGUAUCUUUAAGAGCGUUGAAAUAACUUAUAAUUUCAGAUGCCUGUAAAUGAGCGACAUUUGACACUUAAUUUUGCAUUGGUAAUAGUUAUAGUGCGUGUGAUGCCACCUCCUGAGAGACGCAAACGAUCUACGACGGUAAUAUUUAUGUUUCUUUAUUACGAUUUUAAUGAAAAGACGAUGCUAGUGUCACCGCUAAUAUCUCACUAAUCCAUCAAUUAUCAAAAUUCGGCUGAGAUAGAGUGUGUGUAUGAAAGGGAAGUGCAUCAGAUAAGUCUUGAGGAUUAGUACAUUCAGUUCUUUUUUGUUAUCGAAAUAUUUUUGAGGUAGGAGACCUCUAUUCUUAAAAGUGAUAUAUGCAAACUGAUUCUUCCCUUUCUAUUUAUUUCAAUGGCUAGUUUGAAUAAUCAAUCAGCUUUCUCUCACGUCUUUAACUUAUUUAUUAUUGAGUCUGCUUUUUGUUCUGUGUUGAUUGUAUUCGCGAGAAUUUCGUUAUCGA